rnacentral:rRNA from 1 species
CAGUCGCCACGGGAAUACGGAGGGUGCAAGCGUUAAUCGGAAUUACUGGGCGUAAAGCGCACGCAGGCGGUUUGUUAAGUCAGAUGUGAGAUCCCCGAGCUUAACUUGGGAACUGCAUUUGAAACUGGCAAGCUAGAGUCUUGUAGAGGGGGGUAGAAUUCCAGGUGUAGCGGUGAAAUGCGUAGAGAUCUGGAGGAAUACCGGUGGCGAAGGCGGCCACCUGGACAAAGACUGACGCUCAGGUGCGAAAGCGUGGGGAGCAAACAGGAUUAGAUACCCCGGUAGUCCCUGUCUCUUAUAC